rnacentral:ncRNA from 1 species
AAAUCAGCGAUGAGGAAGAAGAGUAACUUAUCGUUUCUGCUCAGAGAACCGGUGGUUGGUGUAAACCGGUGAGAAAUGAUUAGUGAAUGGGCUUCCGAGCUCCAAACCGAAAUGCAGACAAAGUAGGCUUUGGCGGGUUCCACUCCGUUACAGUGGAGGAUGGGUAAGACGACUACCCAUCCGGUGAGUGGAUUGCGUAAAAGCAAUCAACAAAGGUGGCACCGCGGGCUCCUCGUCCUUUGU